rnacentral:rRNA from 1 species
GACGAACGCUGGCGGCGUGCUUAACACAUGCAAGUCGAACGGAAAGGCCCUGCUUUUGUGGGGUGCUCGAGUGGCGAACGGGUGAGUAACACGUGAGUAACCUGCCCUUGACUUUGGGAUAACUUCAGGAAACUGGGGCUAAUACCGGAUAGGAGCUCCUGCUGCAUGGUGGGGGUUGGAAAGUUUCGGCGGUUGGGGAUGGACUCGCGGCUUAUCAGCUUGUUGGUGGGGUAGUGGCUUACCAAGGCUUUGACGGGUAGCCGGCCUGAGAGGGUGACCGGCGACAUUGGGACUGAGAUACGGCGCAGACGCCUACGGGAGGCAGCAGUGGGGAAUAUUACACAAUGGGCGGAAGCCUGAUGCAGCAACGCCGCGUGCGGGAUGACGGCCUUCGGGUUGUAAACCGCUUUCGCCUGUGACGAAGCGUGAGUGACGGUAAUGGGUAAAGAAGCACCGGCUAACUACGUG